CGGCGGUGUCUAAUACUCCGUCGAAAAUCGAUUAUAAAUGGAAUGCUUUGGUGAACUUCAUAGAACCCUAAUUCGCGAAGAGGCAGCCGUACGCCCAUACCCUUCUUAGCCAAUGAAAUGGCCCUCGAGCUUAGCAGCAACUAACGAAAAGCUAUCAUGAAAAUAGAAUUGCUAAGCAUGUGGCAAUGUUAUGGGCUCUUACUGGGUUCAAUGGAGCUCUGUGUUACAACUUGAAUUUCAUCUUUGUAUGUAAAUUAUACAAUGUUAAACCUAUGAGAUGAGCUAGUUAGUGUUAAAUCAGUUUUUCUCCCUUCUGCGAAGGAUGAAGAUCAUGUUUUGAGUAAAUGUGAUUGCUGUAAAUAUUAUUGUCUUGAAAGUCUGCAACUCCAUUCCGAACAGAAAUUUGAUUAGAGCUGAGAGUCCAUGAAAAUAGCAAGUGUGAUGUUUUGAUCUCUUGCUAUUGAUAUGAAACCCAAAAUGUAGGAUAAUCUUGGGAAAUAAAGAACACCACUUUGAUCUU